GACAGAGGGUGCAAACGUUGUUCGGAAUUACUGGGCGUAAAGCGCGUGUAGGCUGCUUCGCAAGUCGGGUGUGAAAGCCCUGGGCUCAACCUAGGAAGUGCACUCGAAACUGCGAAGCUUGAGUCUUGGAGAGGAAGGCGGAAUUCUCGGUGUAGAGGUGAAAUUCGUAGAUAUCGUAAGGAAGACCAGUGGCGAAGGCGGGUCUCUGGACAGUUCCUGACGCUGAGGCACGAAGGUCAGGGGAGCAAACGGG
rnacentral:rRNA from 1 species